GACGAACGCUGGCGGCGUGCUUAACACAUGCAAGUCGAACGGAAAGGUCUCUUCGGAGAUACUCGAGUGGCGAACGGGUGAGUAACACGUGGGCAAUCUGCCCUGCACUUCGGGAUAAGCCUGGGAAACUGGGUCUAAUACCGGAUAGGACCACGAGACGCAUGUCUUGUGGUGGAAAGCUUUUGCGGUGUGGGAUGGGCCCGCGGCCUAUCAGCUUGUUGGUGGGGUGACGGCCUACCAAGGCGACGACGGGUAGCCGGCCUGAGAGGGUGUCCGGCCACACUGGGACUGAGAUACGGCCCAGACUCCUACGGGAGGCAGCAGUGGGGAAUAUUGCACAAUGGGCGCAAGCCUGAUGCAGCGACGCCGCGUGGGGGAUGACGGCCUUCGGGUUGUAAACCUCUUUCACCAUCGACGAAGGUUCGGGUUUUCUCGGAUUGACGGUAGGUGGAGAAGAAGCACCGGCCAACUACGUGCCAGCCGCCGCCGUAAAAC
rnacentral:rRNA from 1 species